ACUUUAUACCUUAUUUUUGGAUUCUGAUCAGCAAUAAUUGGAUUAAGAUUAAGAGUAAUUAUUCGAAUAGAAUUAGGUACUCCUGGGUCAUUUAUUGGAAAUGACCAAGUUUAUAAUGUAAUUGUUACUUCACACGCAUUUAUUAUAAUUUUUUUUAUAUUAAUACCUGUUACAAUAGGAGGAUUUGGAAAUUGAUUAAUUCCUCUUUUAUUAGGAGCACCAGAUAUAGCUUUUCCACGAUUAAAUAACUUUAGAUUUUGAAUACUUCCUCCUGCAUUAACAUUACUAUUAAUUUCAUCUUCAGUAGAAAGAGGAGCUGGAACAGGAUGAACUGUGUAUCCUCCUCUUUCUAGAAAUAUUGCUCAUUCAGGAGUACCUGUUGAUUUAGCCAUUUUUUCUCUUCACAUUGCUGGGGUAUCAUCAAUUUUAAGAUCUCUUAAUUUUAUAGCUACUAUAAAAAAUAUGCGUCCUAAAUUAAUAAAAUACGAAAACAUACCACUAUUUUUAUGAAGAGCAUUAAUUACUGCAUUUUUAUUAGUUGCAUCUUUACCAGUAUUAGCAGGAGCUAUUACUAUAUUAUUACUAGAUCGAAACUUUAAUACUUCUUUUUUUGACCCUGCAGGAGGAGGGGAUCCUAUUUUAUACCAACAUUUAUUU
rnacentral:rRNA from 1 species